GUGGCUAGCCAAUGAUCAUCGAUAAACUGAACCCGUCAAGUUCUCCCGAGGUUCACGCUAAUACAGCAGAAACACUUGGUGCCAUUAUUCGUAACACGCCAUCAGGUCUAUCUGUUAAACUUUCUAUCCCGAGCUUUGUUGAAAUAAUAUUUGGUCGUGCACCGGAAGAUACACAAUCUAAAUCUGGUCUUGUGGACUCACUUUCGUUGUGUAUCUCGUAGUUGGUUUCCAAAAGAGCAACUUAUUCUCCAUCAGUUCACUCUAUUCGAAGUCAA